GCAAACUCGAACAGAUAAGUUUGGUGGUGCGGCAGAGCAACAGGGGGAAAUAAACUUCCGACUGAUCUCACAAAAUUAAAAAGAAAAUGCAUAAUUUCACUGGAAACCAUCAGUUCAGAAUCUCUGGCACCACCAAUUCUGCAUCAUGUGACCUGUGACAUCACAAAGGAGGCAUGGCCAUUCCCUCCCAAGGCCCCUCACCUGCACCUCUGCCACUUCCUCCUGCACAGAUCACCACGGCGACAAGAAAACAAUGGAGGGUAUUGUACCCACAUGCCCAAUCAAGAAUCCAGAAGCUUCUCUGCUCCGUAGACCAACUCAAGCGACACUCUAGACCCCAGCCGCAGCGAAUCCAAAGCCUGCACUUAUGAAAGAUACCUACAGUACAAGCUGUUCCCUCAGAAACAAUCAGUACAUUAUUAGAAAAGUACAUUAUAGCCACAGUAACGGCAAAGAUAUUAUAGGUUGCCCAGUUUGUCAACCCCAAAAUUCCUUCUUCCCCCCUUGUUCUUAAUUACAGAAGGAUCUCUGAGACUGCACCUGGAAACCAUGUUUCAGAAGGUGCAUUAAAUUGUAACAUUUCAGCCUCAACAUUAGAGAGACGGAGAUUUCAAUGUUAAAAAUACAGAACUCACCGUGUGGUUUUGGGAAUAGAAAAAUGUCAAAAUCAUCAAAAAGUGUAAUUACUUUUCUGUUAGGUUUGAUGUGGCCAGUCUGUACAGCAGCUCACCCCUAGCAUGUAUAUUUAAAACUGCUAUUGCACCUCAGGGACAGGAAGGCUAAUUGAAAUGAUUACAAAUGAAAUCAUGGGCAGUUUGUUUCCUAAAGAGAGUGAAUUGGACUCAAAUCACUAACCCUGCUAAGUUCAGGCAUAUGGGUUUCCACCCACAGUUUUGCUGUAAGACAGAGUAAUUAAAGUUUUGCUGUAAGACAGACUAAUUAAAGUUUUGCUGUAAGACAGAA